AGACAGGUGCUGCAUGGCUGUCGUCAGCUCGUGCCGUGAGGUGUUGGGUUAAGUCCCGCAACGAGCGCAACCCUAUUUUUAGUUGCCAUCAGGUUAAGCUGGGCACUCUAAAGAGACUGCCGUCGAUAAGGCGGAGGAAGUGGGGACGACGUCAAGUCAUCAUGGCCCCUUAUGUCUAGGGCUACACACGUGCUACAAUGGGUUAUACAGAGGGCAGCUAGCUCGCGAGAGUCUGCGAAUCCCCUUAAAGUAAUCCUCAGUUCGGAUUGUAGUCUGCAACUCGACUACAUGAAGUUGGAAUCGCUAGUAAUCGCAGGUCAGCAAAACUGCGGUGAAUACGUUCCCGGGCCUU
rnacentral:rRNA from 1 species